UAAAGCUUUCCAACUGGGAUUAGAUACCCCACUAUUCUUGGAUGUAAAUUAAUAAAGAUUUACCAGAGUACUAUGAAUUGUUUACAUUUAAAACUCAAAGAGCUUGGCGGUGUUUUAGACUUUUUAGGGGAACCUGUCUCAUAAUCGACAAUCCACGCAAGACCUGACCUCUAUUUGCAUUCAGUUUGUAUACCGUCGUCGUCAGGUAACUUUUUAGAAAAAAGAAGUUAGCAACUAAGCUUUUAAUAAGCUAAUACGUCAGAUCUAGGUGCAGCUAACAUAGAGGGGAGGAUGGGUUACAAUUAUAAUAGUUAUAACUACGAAAUAAUAGCUUUAAAUAGCAGUUAUGAAGGAGGACUUAAAAGUAAAAUAAAAUAUAUAAAUAUAUUGAAUUAAGCUCUGAAACGUGCACACACCGCCCGUCACCCUCCUGCAGUCAA
rnacentral:rRNA from 1 species